rnacentral:rRNA from 1 species
GGUCACUGCUAUUGGGAUUCGACUAAGCCAUGCGAGUCGAGAGGGUUCGGCCCUCGGCUGACGGCUCAGUAACACGUGGAUAAUCUGUCCUUAGGUGGAGGAUAACCUCGGGAAACUGAGAAUAAUACUCCAUAGGUCUAGGAUGCUGGAAUGCAUCUAGACUGAAAACUCCGGUGCCUAAGGAUGAGUCUGCGGACUAUCAGGUUGUAGUCAGGGUAAAGACCUGACUAGCCUACGACGGAUAUGGGUUGUGAGAGCAAUAACCCAGAGAUGAUAUCUGAGACACGAUAUCAGGCCCUACGGGGCGCAGCAGGCGCGAAAACUUCACACUGUGCGAAAGCACGAUGAGGGAAUCCCAAGUGCCAGCUCGUAAGAGUUGGCUGUUUUUCUGUCUAAAACACAGAGAGAGUAAGAGCUGGGUAAGACGGGUGCCAGCCGCCGCGGUAAUACCUGCAGCUCGAGUGGUGACCGUUAUUAUUGGGCCUAAAACGUCCGUAGCCGGUUUAGUAAAUGCCUGGGUAAAUCGUGUAGCUUAACUAUACGAAUUCCGGGUAGACUGCUAAACUUGAGACCGGGGGAGGCUAGAGGUACUCCUGGGGUAGAGGUGAAAUUCUGUAAUCCUGGGGGGACCACCAGUGGCGAAGGCGUCUAGCUAGAACGGAUCUGACGGUGAGGGACGAAGCCCUGGGGCGCGAACCGGAUUAGAUACCCGGGUAGUCCAGGGUGUAAACGCUGCUUGCUUGAUGUUAGUCGGGCUCCGAGCCCGAUUAGUGUCGGAGAGAAGUUGUUAAGCAAGCUGCCUGGGAAGUACGGUCGCAAGACUGAAACUUAA